AACUGUCCCAAGAGCUACUUUCAUAUUCUUUUUUAGCCCAUUUCUGUUUCAAACAUCUAACUCAUUUGAAAGACUUUUCUCAGAAUAGGGAAGAACUGUUUCCAUAGUUACCACAAUGCAGUGCACUAGUAGUAAUUACAAAAAUAGCAGAAGUUGGGUAUGAAAAUGAUUAUAAUGAUUUAUUUUCUUUUGAUUCAGAAAAUCCAGAUUCAACCCAUGAAAGUCUUGACUAUGAUGAUGUGCAGAACAAUCUGACCUAUGCCACUGUUGACCAUUUAAGACAUAGAAAUGAUGAGGAGAUAAAGCAGAGAAAAGUCUCUCAGUGUUCAGCAGCUAACAGAAGGACAAGAGAUGUUGGGUCUGGUUCUGGUUCUGAUCGUUGUGCUUCAGUUUGAAGAAGAGAUACAAGCACAAAC